GCAAAAAUACUGAGCUACAGUGUAUGUAAAUCUGGUUCCUCAUCCUUAAUGCAUUGCUUAAUGCAUUUUGAUAUAAUGUUGAUUCUUUUGUAAGUUUUUGCCUCAGUGAUUAAAUUCUUGAACUACACACAGGAAAACCUCAGAUCCAGUUUUCCUUUUGUGGCCUGAUGCGUUCUCAGGUUUGGAAUUGUAUGUACCGGUGGAAAACAACAUCGCUGUUAGCCAUCUCCGCAUCCCUCCAGCUGUGUUGGUUCCUUAAUGUCACCAUUUGCAUUGCUAAAUAAUCUGAUCACUGAUAAGAGGGAGUAGUUAUUGACUGGAAUAGGAAGCACUAACACUCCUCCCCCCUACAUCUAUUUGAUUUGUAGGUUAUUUCUACCAUUUCAAUUUCCAGAGUUUGUUUAGAAAAAAAUGAGUCCAAAUAUCCAGUUGAAGAUUUGAUUUAUUGUAAAGCUCUUUUUAACAUCUUGUAGUAAUCUCUUCAGCUUGUUGCCUACCCUGUCACUCUCAAGCUUACUUUCAGUAUCUUUAUGGAAUUGCUCAGACCCUUUUUUUGCUUUAAAAUAAUCGCUAGCUGGCUAAUUGCAAUUCAUUUUCCCUGUGAUAUUCUUCAGGCAUUUGCAGCAUGUGCAGACCUCCAGAACCAGAAUUCUCCCUGCGGCCAAGAGCCCUCAGCAUGUUCAUUAUUUCUGUGCUGAAAGCACUUCACUAAUUUUGCUGUGUUGCAGCAGGGAACCUUUAACUUUAUUUGCUUUUAUAUGUGGCUUUGCACAGUCGUAUCCAUUCAUAAAUGUGAAAACUCACUUCUCUUACUUCCUUAAAGUGUACAUAUAAUUCUUCCACUGGAAACCAUUUGCAAACUGCCUGGUUAUUUUUAGAUCUUUAUGCAAAAUUACCUCCUUUAAAUACAUUGUUAUUGUAUAAUAGGUUCACUAAGGCUGUUACUGUUCUCUGCUCUUGUGGUUUGUUUUCCAGCAAGUUCACUUCAAGUCAGGGGGUCAGAUUCUUUGGACUGGCUGAGUACUGUCAAGUACAAAUAGCAAAGGUCCUGAAGGAUUCAUCAUCACAGGAUAUCCUGGAGGCCAAAAUUAUAGAUGAGUUUUAAAAAUGAUUAGACAAAUUCAUAGAUAUUUGAGCAAUUUGGUACUAAAUGCAGUGAUCCAGAAAAAUAUUCAAUACAGCAAGUCCAUAACCAGCUGGUUACUAGAAAUCAGGUUAAUAUAUUUGAAGAAAAUAAUUCUGCAUGUAUCUUAUACUCUUUUCCUAAUGAAUGAGAGCUGUUGGAAAGUACUGACUGAAGCAGAUAUCUGUCCUAAACUACUUUGUACAUUCAGGCAAUGCUUGUAGCUCUCAGAUUCUUCUAAGGUGAUUUUCAGAAAAGGCUAAGUAAGGGCACAUUAAAUCUAACCCAAAGUAUCCUAAAAUAUCAGAAGAGUUGCUACGACAAUAUGUCUUGUCUCAGCAUGGAGAGUUGCAUCUGCAGUAACAAAGGAGUCUCAACAGCCUAAACCCCUCCCAGUCAUUACAGUAAUCCUCCAUCAUGAACAGAUUCAAAGAUCUCCAGGAAACAAAAAAAAAAAAAAAGAAGAGAGAGAAUAUGCUUUAUUAAAGCUACGUCUCUACCCCUUGAGCAUACAAGAAGAAUCAGGCCCUGCAUCUUUAGCUUGUUUAAAUCACAUAAAGACUUAACUAUCUGUUAUUGCUUUUUCAUAAUCCACUUUAAUUGUCAUUGAUUUGUAUGUUCAGAAAGUGCCCUGAGCUGACCGAAGCAUUUUGUGCGUAUUUGUGGCUGACUACCUGAUCUGUAGUCCCUGAACCACUCUAUUCAGGGUCCUUGCUGAAAACCUUUCUUGGGCAAGAUCUCCAUAGUUUCCAGGCAGGUUUUUGCUCGCAGUGCAAGGAUUACACCAGGCAGAUCCCUUCUGUAUGCAUGUUCAGCUGUCACGUUGUUACCCUCCUCCUGGCUUGCAUCCUCCAAGGUCAUCUACACUUACAAAAAGAACGAAUGUAUUUUACCAACAUGAACUAGCAAAGGGUUAUUUAAUCAAUUAUGCAGGAGCAGAUUUAUUACUGAGAACAAUCUGGAUAACUACAUCACACAAAAAUCACAUUUAACCAAAAGGACAUAUAACUUACUGUUAUGGAGAGAGAAAUAGUGUUUAAUUCCUUGAACUCUGUGAGGAGACUACUCCAGUGACAAGAUCAAGAAACACUUUAACGCAUGCAAAUAUAUUUCAUGUUCUGUGCUUUCCAAAAGCUUGAAACCUUUCAUUUUAAUUUACAGUUAAGCUGCUGGGCAUUUGAAUAAUACACUAUUUGGUGUUUCAAAUGAAAGUUCCUGAGUUUGUAUGUUAAAAUAAUAGAAUACACAAUAAUAUUUAAAAGUAAGGUAUCUGGGCAAAAUUUCCAUUCAAAUAGAGGGUGGAUGAAAAGGACAGCAAAAUUAUUUUCUUCUAAAUGUCACAUGUCAGGGUGACCAGGUUGAGUUUUAUCACAUGCUGGCCUGAUGGAGUAUGCCUCCACCACAGCAGGUUUAAAACAGGGGUUAUUGCCCCUGCUAAACUUCAGCAAAGAUGAGGCCUCGCAUGGCACAGGACAAGAAGCUGGGUACCAGCUGAAUUUUAGGAAGCUAGAAGCACAGGGACUGAGUUGUUCAGGAUGCUGGACAAUUGGGUCUCUUGUCCUAACGAACAUUUCAGGUGGUGAUGGGAGUGUGUUUCACUGUUUCUACACAGAGUUGGAAAUUUUCACUCCUUGGUAAAAUUCUUGUUAAUCUUCAAAGAUUUCUCAUGUAGCUACCAAUGCUUCUUGUGAGACAUUGAAGCCCUUUCUUUGUUCAAAAUGUUUCUGCUUCAUCUACUGUGGUGAAUGAAAGUCACAGGUCUCAACCUCCUUCAAGGGUGUAAAUCCCUUCAGAGAAAGCUGCGUUUUCAUUGCUGUGACUGCUAAGCCAGGAAAUCCUUCUUCUUGGCCAUGUCUGGAGCAUGUGCCCUCCACUGGAGGCUGUCAAAAUUUACAGCCUGUUUUAGUUGUGUGAAAUGGCUAGGAUUCAAUUUACACUUCGUCUGAGUAUGCUGAGGAGCAGUGGGGCAUUUUGAUGAGACUGGCUCGUGGCAAUUACAUGCAGAUGCCCAGUGCCACUCCUUUGGUCACAGAUGAUUGUUUGGCCAAAGGCAGUUAGGAAGAGGAUGUUUCGCUUAUGUCUCCAGGUGCAGAGCCUGGCCUAAAACACGAGUUGGAUGCUCAGGAGCAAAUAGCAGACACAUCAGUGAGUGGGACUGAAGGUAAUGCACAUCUCAAGGAGUGAGACAAGGGAAUAGCUGCAGACACCUAGCACUGAAAAAUAGAGCCAGGACAGCUCAUGUGCCUGAAUGCCAGAUUCUGCAGUAGCAGAAAAAUCUCAGUAGUUCAAAUCAUGUGAGCCCACAAAAAACAUUAAUUAAUGUGUUUUGAUCUUAUAUGUGUCAAAAAUAAGAAAUGAAGGGAAACACUAAGAACAGAGAAAACACAAUUAAAUUUCUUGAGUACUGUCUGUCUUGAUAAAUGAUAUAGUUAUUCUUAUGACGAAGAAAUCAGAAGCACAAGUACAGAAUAAAUAAUACUAAUUUAUUUAGUAUUAUUGACAAAUGCCAUUUUAUAUUACUAUUAUUUUUAAUAUUAAUAAUACUACCUUAUAUGGGUUAGAUAGAAAAAUAUAUUGUAUUUUAUUUGUACAAAACAAGUUUAUACGUUAGGAAAAGUAGACAUUGUCUUGAUUGACAGAGCUGCCUGAGAACUGGAAAAAUGUUGGUUAAAACUACUGCUUUUUUGUUUCUGGAUGCAAUCAAUAUUUUUAAUCUCUUACUAGUGACUUACUGGUCCUAAGAGGGUGUGUGUGUGGGGGGGGAAGAAGCACAGUUACUUUUCAGAGCAUUUUCCUUAACUAUUUAGUAAAGACAAUGCUGUGGCUAUGGUGUAAGCCCAAAAAUGUUUGUCAAUUCAAAGAUGUUGUUUAAGUUUAUAAUAACUACAAUGGAUGGAUGUUGUCAUUUUCACAUAUUUUCUAAGGACGAGUAUCUCAGGCUUCCUUAGGAAAUCUGAAUUUAGCUCUUCACUUAAUAUAGUGUCAUUUCAUUAAAAAAUAAUAAAUCCAUGUUCUCAACGUGAACUUAAUAUAUACUGUCUAUUCAUUGACCUCAGUAUGAACUAAGGAGUCAGAUAAUCCUCAGUUUAUAAGGCAUUUAGGGGAGGAAAAAAAAAAAGUGUCUAUAUCUAUCUUUUAUUCUCUCUCAUUUUUUUUUUUUUUAUUUUAAUGGCUUUAUUCUGACAAUAUAAAUAGUGUCAUCUCUACAGGCCAAAUUGAACGUGUUACCCAACGUUAUAUCAUUUGCUUUAAUUAAAAUAAAUGGUGUUUAUUUAAUUAGGGCACAACAGGAGCUGAAUGUGAACAUCCAAGGGCAGAAUUUGGAUUGUAACCUGCAUUUGUCCAUCAGCAGGGCAUGGACAAUACAGAACAUUCAUUUACUUUGAAGGACUUACUGAUAUGCUGCUUGGCAUGCCUUUUCAUGACCCUUUGUUCCUAAUGCACCCCAUCCUGUGAAGGUUGUUGAUAACAUCCAAAACCAGACUGCAUUUCUCUGAAAUGAAAUUAAGUUUUUGAAUUCCCAAACAUUUGUAGCACACAAAACUCUCUCAGUGAGUUAUCUAGGAGAUCAUGUUCAAAAUAGCAGUAGCCUUUCUUCUGUCCAGAAAAGCCUGUUGGCUUUUACAGCAUGCCAUUGAGUGGAAUACAGAGCAGCUGCAACAAAUUAUUUUGUGAACACACAGCUAAUCAAGAGCUGUUUCUCUAUGUUGCAGCUCACUCGAGAAGAUGGUUGUUUGUUUACAGACAACUCAUAAACUGAAUAAGAGUUAAACCAUAGUUUUGUCAAGAAAUAUUAAGUGUUAUGGCUUUGCUAUGGAAUAGCAAUGUUUUGAGCAAAAUUUGAUUAUGUGAAAAAAAAUAUAUAUAAACAAUAUAUUGGUUCUAAAUUCUGUAGGCAAAUUAUGUAUCAUGGAAAACAAGUUAACAUCACACACAAAACAAUAGAAAUAGGACUAACCCCUCCCUUCUCUAUAUUGUAAGGCUCUUAGCUUGGUCUAUGAAGAUCAAGCUAAGAAAAGAUGCUAGAGAAGACCCCAUGGGAAAGGUCUCACAUCUUCAGGUUACAGGUCUCUGAGCAGGGGCCUGACACUUUCAACGGAGCCCUCUUCUCUCUCUUGGUGAAACUGUUUCUAGGUCGGUCUGCUAAGUCCCUCAAGCAAAGCAAGGCUGGAUCUUUCUUUCAUGCAAAUCAUAAAUAAGCCUGCUUUUUACAGAGGCAUCUUUCCUGAAAUUCAUGCAUGUCUGUCCCUGAUUUACCAGUAAAGAAUGUGUUCACUUGUAUACAUGCAGUUGUACAUUUGCAUUUGUAAAAAUCUGCCUCUAGUUUUCACUUAGAGUGGUGACUAUUUUAAGCUAUAAGUGUAUAAUUAAUCUGCCAUGGAAAUUAGUUGUUUAUUUAUUAUGUAAGUACGCCUUUUAUUAAAACUGCUUUGUGAAAAUCUAAUUGCCACUAUAGUAAUAUAGCAUAACAGUCCCUCACAUAAAUACAUGAUUAUUAUGUACAGUCACUUAUCUGUGAACGAGCUCUGCUACUACUUUCCUUAAUUAAGGAUACAAAGGGCUCCUUCAUCUUUGCAUAUUCCCUUGCUAGGACAUUGAUACUCAUUAUUUCCUAAGUCCAAACACUGAAACUGUGUCAAGAAUGCAUCUAUCACUAGACGGGUACUUAUAGUCAGCGGAAUUUUCAACUGCGUCAGCAAAUUCAGCAAUUUGCAAUUUCUGUAUGUCUGACGUGUUUUUAUUGGUGAAGAUCACUUUCAAAUACCAAGAUCAUGAGAAUGAUUCCGUGGUUAGUCUCCUCAGCAGCUGAAUGUAAUGACAGUAAUUAACAGCCUGUGAUUAGCAGCCACUCCAGAAAGUCUUUGAAUGUUAAUUUGCUUCAACUAAUAUGCAGCACUUCUGUGUAAUGAGAUCUAUGCUAUAGGUUCACAGUGAAAGCAAAUUAUUUUCCAGCAUUUAAUCAUACAAAUGAUUCUCAGUUAAUCACUUGAACAGUAAACCUCAAUGUUCUAAUAAGUGACAUUUGUUUUUCUGUCAUUUGAUUUAUUACAAAUAUAGGCAAUGGUAUGGUAUAUCAAGCACUGUUUCUUCAAAAAAGGUCAUGAACACACAUGAUAUUUCUGUGGAUCACAUUGUAACCAAGGUGAUAUCAUUUUAUCAAAGCAAGCUACCUUCAGCCUUCUCUUUGUCCUCUUUUUGGUUCUCUACCCUCUAGUUUCCUUUGGGGGUACCUUUCAGUACAGUAUCCAAAGUAUCACCCCCAAACUGUUGUCCCCUUUCUGGGCUGUAGGUUUAUAGGAAAACCAAACCAAUAUCAAUUCUAGCUUUUCUCUCGAAGUGAUUGCAGAGUGUUGAAAAGGAGUGAGAUAAAAUGAAUUUAUAUUGCCUGGGAAUAGAAGAGACCAUGAAAAAAUCACAGUGCUACAUUCCUUUGUGUCUCACAUGUGCUAAGGAUAACUGUACUCUGCUGUUAAUGACGAAACUAUGUCCUAGGUGGAGGAGUCCACCAUGAUAGAAAAAAGUGUUUACUACGAGGGUAUAAACUUGAGAGCAAAUGUUUUCUGGGUUCUUCCAGCUGCUUGGUCAAGUAUUCAUUGUGGGCAGUGAUACUAAAAAUUGCUUUUCUCCAAGGCUGUGUUCAGAAAUCCAUGAGAAGUGCAAGACUGCACACCCUACCCUUCCUGCUGCCAUGAGAUGAACACUAAAACUGUAGACAGCUGAGUGCCACAGGAGAUACCUGCAUCCCUCAGAGAGUCAGAGGGAAGGGAGUGCCAUGCAUAGUUGCUGGCAAUGGCCAUCUGAUUUGGUGGUAUCAGCUCAGGGCUGCUAAUGGGCUGCUUGCUUUCUUCCUCUGGAGCCCUCUGCAACAGCAUGGUCUCUUUGUGGGUCCCUGGGGCGUUUUUAUAUGAAAACGAGUGCAGAUUUGUCCAUGCCCAUUCAUGAUACUGUCCAUCAGUACAACCUUGCUCCACACUUCCUCUUAUCUAGCUCUUUGUCAUGGCAGUAACACCAGCAGCUUCAUUUUGAAAUAUUGAGUCCUGGUGUGAAUAUAACACCACCCUUAGGUGGAGUCAAAGCAUAUGCUAGCCCUAAAUGUCUUAAGAAAUCUGUACAAUUUAUUAUAAUUUGGCUAUUUGACUGAAUUUCCCUCUUGGAACCGAGAUCUAAAAGCAAAGCAUAUGGUAGUAAGCUAGUCUAUUUUAUUAUUUCAGACAUCCUUGGCACUUUGCAGGCAACUUUGCCUGACGCUUUGUGCAGAGCAUGAUUCCUUGUUCGGGGAAGGGGUGAGCAGGGAGCAUGGGUCUGACUCUGCAAACUGGCACCUGCCAAUAGGGACAGGUUUGUAGCUUUUUUUAGCAUCAGCCAGCCAGCAGAAGAACGAGAGGAUUUUGAAAGUCAGCAUUCCUACGGAUAGGUAAAAUGAAGGGGAAUGGAUUCUAAUCUAAUUGUAAAUGCUCUGUUUUUAAAACACUUCUUGUCAAUAAAUCCUUCCAUUAACAGACAUGCUGACAGCCCAAAGCAUGGUCAGAUCAGGAGUCUGGCUGCAGUUGUGAUGUAUUUUCAUCUUUCAACAUACAAAAUUUUGUAGAAAGUAAUAGAUUGAAAUGGCUGAUUUAAAAACACGUUCAGUCUUGAAGAGCUCUUUUUGGUAGAAAUACACAGAAUUUUCCAGACUACGGCAUAUUUUCUGCCUUUUAUGUUGAGCUUAACACCUAAAAAAGAUCCUAUCCAGAAACCGAUCUGGAGGUUGAGCAAAGGAUUGAGACUGAGACCUUGAGCCACAAUUAUGCUUUUUUGAUCUGGGUUAUGUUACUAGCAAAUUUUAACUUGUAUUCUGAUUACUGCUCUAUGUAUUUUAAACUGCUGCCAGUCAUAUGCAGGUAAAGAACUUUCUUAGUUUAUAUUACUUUACUGCCUUUCCAGCCCUGAAUCUCCUUCCAUUUUUCUAAUUAUGGACCUAUACAAGCUACUGUGUCCUCUCCGGAUACUGAAAAUGGGUACCACAUAUUGCUUAAUCUCUUUAUUAAGCUAAGGUUUAAAUAAAUCUCCUGGGCCCAUGUUCAGGUUAAUCAAGAUUAAAUAUUUUUCUUUUUUUUUUUCUUUCUUUUUUUUUUUUAUAAUUCAAAACAAAACAACAACAACAAAAAAAAGCUUUUGAAAUAUUCUAGCUCCUGGUGCACUUUCCUCUUGUUUCUUCUUUUCGUUUAUUUCUUCCAUUUAUAAACUAUAUAUUAAAAGCAUGCAGCUCCAUCCACUUGUAGCAGUAUUCCUCCAAUGCUAUCAUGAGAUUCACUAGUGAUGUUCUGUAAAUGCCAGCCAAAAUCUAUCUGCAAGAACAUCUGCUCAACAGUGCAAAACUGAUGUAAUUACCAACCAUCAUCUUUUAUCCUCCUGCUGGGGCAACUGCUCCAAAGCAUGACUUUUUGCCCUGAGCUAACAAGAUCCAGAAACUUGCUGUUAUGUACAAAUCUUACUGUAGAAAACUAACACGGCUGAUACACAAAUUCUCACAGGAUGUUUCAGUAGUAAGGGGAACAAUACCCAAGUGACAUGGGUCUCAUGGAAACAUUUCAAAUUUUUUGUUUAAGAUUUCUGUGUUUUUGCUGCUUUUGGUUCACAUAUUUUUAUUCUACGGGAUUAGCUUUAAUGCUUGGCAAUGACUGUACUAAAGAAUUAUUUUCAAAAAAAAUAUAAAUAUAGUAACUGAAAGGAUGUCAUAGAUGCUCAAAUUUGAUUAAUUAAAUUAUAAACGGUUGUCAUCUACAUGUGUGUGUAAACAGAUGUCAGAUACUAGAAGCUGGACAUACGGUCAUUAAUGACUCACUGUUUUUCCUAUAAGCAAAUGUACUGCUUAUGGCUCUGUUUGUGGAUGUGAUAUGUUUCAGAAAGCUGCAAUAGAUACCCUGUACCUUUCAGCAACUUUUUUCUUUCUAUGUACUAAUGUCUUACUCUCUAGGAAUUGCUUCCAACAUUUCAAACUUCCAAAACCUUUCAAUUAAUUACCGUUUUGUCUCUUACGCAAGCUGAUAAGAGAAAUGUUUUGACUUCCCUUGUGCUAUCCAUCUGACUUCCGGAGAAGACACCUGCUGUUGUGCAGGUUCCACAUCCAGUGUCUCUGGAUGACUCUUCAGUUAUCACAAGUGUAAUGUGCGCCCAAAAUGUAAAACCCCAAGCACCUAAGAACAGCAAAAUUUAUGGUUGCAGAGCCAUACAUUUCUCAAAUUACAUUGGUUUCACCUCAUUCCUGGAGCUCUCUUCCUUGAGUUGGACAAGUUCUACCUCAACAUUACAUUGGGAAGAAGACAGGAUUUUGACUGUGCCUGCAUAACCUUUUACUUAAGUACCGGGAAGAUCACCUAACCUAUGAUUUUCAGUCAUACUGUUUAAAAAAAAAAAAAAAAAAAAAGGAGAGAGAGAGAGAGAUCUGGAUUGCUGAAAUGAAAUCAAAACUACAAAAAAGCUAUUCAUGAAUUGAUAAUACUUGAUGUGCAAAUGCAAUGCAUUGAGGAUGAGGUUUCUGUUGUAUUUGUACAUGAGUAUAUUUACAAACCAUAGCUAAACUUCUGGUGGAGAAACCUGGCAGCAUUGCCUGCCUAAAAAUGCAUACCUGUGGGACUGAAGGCAGAAGUCCAGCAGCCUCUCUGCUUCUGCAUGCCCAUGACAUCCAUCCUAGAGAUUUUGAUCCUCCCUCAGACUUGCGUGGGACGAUUUCUGCCUAGCUGAAGCAGAUGGGGCUGUGCUGCAAGGGACUGUUUUCAGUCAGGUGUAGCAGGGUUCCAGACAUGCAGAUAUGGAGCCCCUCUCAAAGGUAGUACAGGCAAAUGAAUACUGGUACAAAGCAGCACUUCCUGUGAUGUACAUAGAUUUCCAAGCAGAAUGGUGGGUUCUGCAUGCUCUCUGCUAUAUUCUCACGUCGAGUUAUUCAUAAUCAGCACAUAUUCUCAGUACUAAUGUCAGUAGAGCUAUGCUGUGCUGCACGAGCAAAGAGAUUCAGCCAGGCUUGGUGACUUAAAGAAAUACUUCCAAGAGCGCUUACCUCUUCACUCCAUUUUCCCAGACUUUCUGUUAAACCUGUUGAUAUUUUUAUUUCUUUGGACAGCCUUCCUAUCUCUAGGUGUCUGCACUUCAUCAUCUGAGGAAAGAUGCAAUUGCAAUGACAGAACUAGACCUUGUUAUGCUAUGAGUAAUAUUACACACAGUCCGGCACUUCUGGAGGGAAUCUUGAGCGCUGGUGCUUUAUAUACAUGAUAAACAAGGGGAAUUUGGUUUGCAUUUGAGAGAUGGAGAGCCAAAGUAAAAUGGAGAUAAAAGUCCAUCAGAUCAGAACAGUGCAUCUAGAUCCUCUCAGCAGUGCCUUUGCAGAGAGGUAAGUGAUAAGGAAGGGUGAGCUGGGAGAAUCACAUUGUAGAGACCACUGCCUACAUCAGACAACUUACAGUCUGGUUAUAAAAGUGAGCUAAAUUCCCAGGUGCUGUGCAGCUACAGGUCUAAUAAACAUUGCUGGUGAGAGUUGCCUAAGUGACUGAGGAGCAGCUUUUGUUCUGAACAUUGAUAAACUUUAAGUGCUAGGGGACCAAACCACUUAAACCACUUGACCCCACACUGGACCUAGAGCUCCAGUUUUGAAGCAUGUAGGGCAGGGACGCCUAAUCUGUCUCCUUUCUACCCAUGUUCGCACAACAUUGUAUAAAUAUUUUAGUGCUACUUUAAGUCCUAAGCUUAGACUCUCAGACAGGCUUGCAGCCUACCAUUUGGAUGUUCUGGCUAUGGUCAGCUGGUGAAGCUCUGCUGCAGGCUCCAUUACCAGACAGGUCAUUCUGAGGUACCUCUAUGCAGCAUCUCUUGAUUCAGGCCUGUUCUCAUUUCUCUGAGCUCUUGGUAUCCCCACUACCCUGCUGGCCCCAUGCAUGGUUACUUGCAACUUCCAAAUCCAGUUUGUGUUGGGUGAGUCUAUCAUUCAUGAUCACCUGAACUCAUUGUGUAUGCAAAGCUACCGCUGGUAGUCCCUCUGGUGUUCCCAGCUCCCUGUGUUUUAUUUGGGUUUAGAGCUAGUGAUCCUUAAUUUUUAGAGUGAGCCUCUGAGACUCUGCUACACAGUUCCUAAUACAGGAUUCAGUACUUAUAUUUUAUUUAAAACUCAGGGCUUGUUACUACAGCGCUUUUAACAUUCUAAUAUACACAUAAAAUUUUUAUGGCUCACUCUCUUCCUGAGAAGUCUCAGAUAUAAAACAAAUUUUCAAGGAGAAAAAAAAAAAAAAAAAGCAUACAACAGACAUGCUUUGCUUUAAUUUUGGGCCCAGAAUGGUAUCUUUCUAUGUGUGAUUGGUAUCAGUGAAAGCAGAAAAUACAUCUCCAAGAACAAAGCAUGAGGGUAUUUUAAAAAGCAAUUUAUUUCCCUGCUGGCCUCAGACUGCUGGUCCCUUGCAUGUCAUGGGCACAAUGGAGAGUCCUUUGGUCAGCACCUGGCAAAGACACGAGAGAGAAGCUCAUCUCUCCUUACAGUGCUGCUAGUGUUCUUGCUUGUGCAAAGCAAGCAGGAAGCCACCAGAGCUGUCAUGGCUCCCGUUCCUGCCCAGGUAGUUGUUGGCAGCAAGAAUGAUGGCUACAAGGUAUGUACAAAUGGGAAUUUUACCUGGGAAAUGGUGCUGUCUAAUUUUUUUGUGAGUAUGAAAAGCCUAAACAUGCAUCUAACCCGGUGGUCUUCAUCAUGGGUCAACCCGCAUUCAUCUGAGAUUAGCCACAAUCCAAAGUAAACCUUGGCUGAAAGUGAAGUUCAAAAGAGUUUGAUCAUCUGUUUGUUGUUAUAUUAAGAUAUUUCAGACAAUUCUUCAGUGUUUAUUUAUCCACAUUUUUCAUCCACUUUGACAAUAUAUCAUAGUAAAAAUGCUAAUUAUUAUCAUUCUUACUAGUUUGGUCUGGAAGAGUAAAUAGCAUGGGAAAGCUGCUUAUAGCAUAUUUCCACAUGGCUGAAACCAGGAAUUACUGGAAAUCUCACGUGAGAGAGAUUCUUUGGCUCUUUUGGGACUUCCAGACCAAAGAUAUUUAGACACAUUAAAUUGCAACUUACAGAUUUUUAUAUUAAAAAAACUAGGUUGGCUGAAUUUUCCAAGAUUUUUUCUUCACUAGAAGAACUUUGGUACAGCUCAAAAUUAAUUAUACAUGCUUAUAAAUAUGUGGGUGAACACCUUACAAAUCUAUAUACAGAUUAGAUUUAUAGAGUACAAUUCAAUACUAUUUUACAAAGCGAUAAAAGCAUUUGCCAAUUCUCAUGAAAACCAACAAUAUCUUUGAGUUGUAAUAAUGCAAAUGUUUAAUAAAUAAGAUCCAGUUAUCAGCUUCAUGGAUAGCACAACACAAAAUGUUUUCUCAUGUCUCUAUGUUCUAUCUUUAUUUUUACCAGCCUUCUCAAUUCACCAUUAAUAGUUCUCCAGUUUUUGUUGUUGUUUUGACAGUAGACCUUGGAAAAUUGUUUUACUUUUCUUACUUUGGAUUUCAGGAUAUGUGGAAAGGCUAUUUAUUUUUUUUGAGGAUGUCUGGCAAGGAAAUGGGUGUUGUACAGUUCAGUCUAUUUGCGUGUAGUAUGACAUUAUUUAUUUAUUAUUAUUUCUUGAUUGAAAUAAAACCUUGUGAUCUACUGUCCUGAAAAGCUGUUACAGUGGGUAUUUUCCUGUAUUUACUCUGGAAAAACAAAGCCAAAUUUCAACUUCAUAUAAAAAGAUGUAAAAUAAUCCAGUUUAUUUUGCUGGAUGCUUUCAUACUAGACUAGUAGCUUUCACCUGCUACUUAACAUCAAAUGGCAACACAGUGCUUAAGGAAUGAUUUAUUUGUCAAAGAUUAGGGUUUUUUUCUUCCAUAGGAGAUGACAUAGGGUGUAACAGCUCUAGAAGCAGGUAUUGUUGAUUCUAGCUACUUCAUAUGUGAAGUUCAAAUUAACACCAAAAAGAUAUAUAUAUAUAUUCCCCUUUGCUAGAAUUCUCUCAUCCUUUGACAGAAUUCUUUCAAACUGCAUUCCCAAUUCCUCCAAGCUCCAAGGAGGAACUCAUAAUUCAUCAGUGGCCAGACAUCCAUAUGUGCUUAUCUCAGGGCAAAGCACCUGCAGCAAACAUUGCAGUGUGUGAUUCUUGGUGGAUUUUAAAAUGCAUCCAGGAUUUGGAGCUGACCUGGGAGGUGAGUUACUGCCUGCUUGGCCACGUGUUGGCAGGACCAUCUUCGACGUGCAGAAGACCCACCUGUGGCAGUGGCAGCAGUCCCUUUUGUAAGUAAGAAUUGUGUUCUUUGAAGUUUGUUGUUGUCUUGAUGUUGUAUUUGGGAGCAUGGAUUAAGUUAAAUAUUGCACUGGCUUGGAGCUGAUGCCACUCUGCCUCACCAGAGCCAGAAGGACAAGUGGACAGGUCGUUUUCUGCUUUGUUAAGAGAUCUGAAGGUCAGAGCAUCAAAAUGGUAAUUUCAAUCAGAGCCAGCCUAGCUGCUCUGCAGUCUAACAGAGUUACUGUAGGCUGUAGGUCUUAAUGCAUGCGGAGACUGUGAUCUAAUUCUAAGCACUGCUUGUUGGGUCAGAUCUGGUUGAGUCAAACCUUGAUGUUUCAUCCCAUCAGGUCGUUCCUGAGAGGCUGCCUCCCUGCAGCAAAUGAAAUACAAAGAAGGACGGAAAUGGAGCCCUUGCUUUGCUGAACAAGCACAAAACUUCUUGUUAAGGAUUACCAUUUAGAAAAUAAUCCACAGUUGCUUUUAGUGUAAUCUCAGCAGACAUACUAUAUUCACUAUUGAAGCUUUUGCAUUACUAUCAAGUACCACACAAAGGCAAUCCUGGCAAAAAAAAAAAUGAUAGGGGUAAAAAGUGGGGAUUGGAAGGAAGAGGAUGGAUUAAUUUCUUCUUGUCGCUCAAUUAAGUCCAGUAAUGCUAAGUAGCAGGAUGUUGUUACAACAGGAGGGAGGCACUGUUGUUAAAUCAGUUUUAUCCUGAAACGAGAGAGGAAUUCACCAUGACUUGAUUUCACAUGUAAAUAAAAGAAUUUAUUGUGACUGUAUAAUAACUAAUAGUGAUUUGUAGGCACUUUAAAGUACAAUAGUAUAUUUAAAACAAAUAUACAGAGGCAUUUAGAGCCUUAAUAUCACCCUCCCCUGAUGCACAAGACUGUGCCCAGCGCCAGUUCACUAACACUAGCAGCAACAGCAUUUAUAUAGCAAUAGUGAGUAACAUUUUUCAAGAUAUCAUAGGUACUGUACUAGUAGAAAAACAAACAAAUUAGCAAAAUGAAAGCAGAGCACAGCACUUAAUCACAUAGUUGUCUCAUUUAAAUCAGUGGGUUGACUCAUUUUCCUAUAAUUAUGCAUGUUUUUAAGGUAUGGUUGGUAUGUCACGUGUGUGUAAUCUGAUAAUUGCUUCUAUCCAUUCCCCUUGGAUUUGUCCUACCUUCAGGGAAAGGACUCUAUUCUUUUGUUACCUGUUGUAGGGUGGCCAGCAUAGGUAGGUGCAAGACAAGAGCUUGUAAGCACUACAAUAGGAUGCAUAGUAACAGUCUUAGAUUAAAACAAGUUAAUUGAUGCUGAAGGGAUGGCAAAGUGCAUAAGUUGCCUUAUCACAGUGAUACUGUGGCAACCUUGCAGUGAAAAGUGAUGGGGUAGCAGGAUAAACAGCCUCUGCCACCUUCAGUGAAACCAGUGGCAGCCAAGCCAGGUAGGCACAAUUACAAGCAGGGAGCUCUGGCAAAGAGGGGGAGUGCAGGUGGUGGGGAACAGUAGUAAAAUGAUGUGUUUUAUGUUACUGGUGUCCUGUCUUUUAUUUACUUUAGUCUGCUGGCAGGAUGUUUCUCUGUAAACAUUACCACAAAACACUUAAACAGGAAUAAAAGUAACUUUUAUUGAAGGAAUUUAAAAGUAGUCUCUGGAAAACAUGCAAGAAACGCCAUGUGGACUCCACAUCUUCUUCAAAGUAGACUGAACACAGCAGGAAUCUACUACUGUCACCAAAAACAAAUCCAAACUGCACCUUUUAAUAUUUAUAUAAUUGAAAGUACAAAUCAAGAUUGCUGCCUGAAAGCACUCACAUUUCAAGACAGUAAAAGGGUCCAAGUCGCCUUUUCAAACUUGUAAUAGAGUAUGUAACACCAAAUUAAGCCCAUAGUUCUGGCAUAAACCAGCAACAUCAGGACAAUAGCAUUUACCACAUAUUGCAAAAUAUAACUUUCCAUUCUUUGGACUAAUUAGAAAGGCAGCCAGUAGCACCAGUAUGGUUCUGUCAGCAUUUCCACAAUAAAACCCCCUUUUCAGGGCUUUAUAACUCGGCUGUAAAAAAUUAGCUUCAGGCUGCAGCUUGGCAUGCCUUGGUUCACCCCAGCAGCACGCCGAGCCGUACAUGUGGUUAUGUGUGUGGUUUGUUGAUUGUUUCCUAAAUGCAAAUUUUCAUUGAAAUUAGUUUUGCUACUUCUUGGAAGACAGUAAUAAAAGGAACCAAUGUUUAAAUGAGUGCAGUUACAUUCUUUGGCAGUCUCUCGCGGCGAGUUAAUUGUUAAAAGUAUGAAUGUUUGAGGUGAGAAGCAAACAGCUUUGUGACACUUUUUUGUUUUAAAUUAAACCAUCUCAAGGAAAGUUUGAAAGCAGGUUUCUGCACUUGCACAUUGAUCUUAUUUCACAGGGCGUGAUCCUGACUCCAAGAGAGACACCAUCCAGCAGCUUUGAUGGAAAGGGCCCAACAAGAGCAGCUCAAAUGAGGGUGCAGGUAUUCAGGGCGUCCCUGGAACAACUGUGCCACAGGGAGGACUAGAGUAUCCCCAAGCUGCAGGGGUGUCAAAGCCAUGAAGUGUUCAGGUGGGGAAGUCAUUGACAGUUUCCUCCACAGUGCAUGUGGCGGUGACAAAGUCAGCCUCUCCGAGGCUCAUGCCACAGGAGGACCUGAGGGAUCUCUUAUAGUUGUGGGUCAUCAGCCAACGUUCAUUAAAUAUCUGUGUUAUGGACCAACACGGUCCAUUGGUUAAAAGUGUGGCAUACCCCAACCAUGCCCACAAACUUUGAAGUGAAUUGGGUAGCAUCAAUAAUCUCAUCAAAAAUUCUUCUAUUUCAGCCUUACUGUGGUCUGUAGAAAUGCCCCAGAGUCAGGAUGCCUGCUACCAUGCAGCUGGAAAUACUGUGGCAUGGAGAGAGAAGUGGAAGUGGAAAGGAGAUCAGAAAGGCUGUCUGCAGAUAGCAGUUUUGAUUUCAGUACUUCAGCAAGAGUCUCCUCUAUGAUUUCUGCAAGGUUGCACACAACCUGACUGAACAGGAACCCAAAGUCUGCUGUCAGUGGCUUUGCUGAGAUCACAGGAGUAAUGGAAGACAAAAAUCAAACUACAUCUUGGCUGCACAGUGCUGGCUGCUUGAGGAAGUGCAAGCAUCAGGCUGGAAUCAGAAGUGGCACAAGAGCCAGCAGGAAGCAGCAGAAAAUACCACAUCGUGGUAUUAGCGCCCUUGCCUGCCUGUGCUGAAAUUUUGCACGCUUGUGCUGCACCGGCCCCAUCGCCCAGCUGCCGCUGCCCACUCCCUGCGUCAGCUUGUCGCCUGUGAACGCUUCCAGGUCACCCUGGUGGAAAACAGAGACUCUGGGGAAGUUGGAGCACUGUGCUAGCUGUGGGUUUGGUCCCCUGUAAAAAGAGGAAAAGAAAGCAAGCAGACAAGAAUGAAAACCAGAAUUAGAUAAAUAUCUGGCAAUGUUUCAUGAGAAGCAUAUCCUAGAGAGAGCAACAACAAUCUCAAUAAGGUAACAGAACGGCGCUAUUAUUUACUAUCACCUCUAGCAAAAUGAGUUUUUCUGCCUUCUGUCGCUUGAAUACUCGGUACCGAGGCUCAGACCAAAGACGGCCCUCCCUCCCAGGUGCCUACCCAUAAUAAAUAAAUAAUUAAAUAGGACAAAAACCCCUACUCCCCGCUCUGUCCUCCGUGGGACCCCCCGAGCAGCCGCACGGGGCUGGGACCCAACGCUGCGGCCCCGGCCCCGGCCCCGGUGCGCGGCGGUUCCGCGGUGCGCUGGAGACCCCUGUCGGCGCCUCGCCGCAAGCGGGCCUCCGAGCCGUCCCCCAGCGCAAACUUGGAGCUUUUACAGCCGGCGAGGGAAGGUGCCGAGCACAGGCACAACUUCGUGGUUCUUCUGGGGAUGCUUGACCACAGGAAGCCCUCCGUGCUCGGCUUGUUGGAUGCGCACAGACGAUAAUAUCUAUAGCAUUGAAAUGCCUCUGGUCUGGCUGAAGAAAUUUGUUUUGGUAAAAUCCCGGUUUGUCACCCUGAGCUGCGCUAAGUAGUUGCUGUUUGUAAUUAUAUCGAUGGGAAUCCUCACGCUGCUUCUCUCCUGUGGUAUAAUUCACGCAGCCCACGUGUGGUCACUUAAUGCCCACACUACCAAAUUGCUCAAAACAAGGAAUGUAGAGCUGACUGCAUGACCCAGCUGAGUACCAAAACCAUUUGUUUUUAAUAACACAGUGUGAGAUGCCCAGUGUUAUAUAAUAUGCAUUCCCACUCUUUUCUUUUGCAUGGCGAUUGCUGGUAGCUGUUAUUUCUCACCUCAGGUCAUGAAAAGUAUUUUAUCAUUACUCUAUUUGCUAUACAAAUAUAAACAAAUAUAGAAACACACGUUCUGCUGAUGAUCUUUUGUACAUGCAGCUCCCCUUACAAGCCAGGGGAAUGUUUCAUGUGAAAGGACUUCCAAGUCAGGCGAUUUGGACGCUAAGCUUAUCAGAAAGCAGUGUUAUCUGAUGAGCUCCAGCGCGUCCUAAAUUGACAGAGUCUUGUUAUGUGCACAAUGCUCCUGCUUAGCAUAUACGUAUUCAUUUUUCCUCGGAAUUUGGAAAUAUCUAAACCUUUUUUUUAUAUCUGAGUACCCUUGACAAUAUCAUUUAAAGUUGUUUUUUUUUUUUUUAAAUACUCCCUAAAUUAUUUUCUAAAUAAAGCUCAACUCUAGCUUAUUGAUUAUUUUUAUCUUAAAUGACCCUAAAGUUCCCCAGCUUUACCUCUUACGCUGAUGUAAGUCUUAAUGCAAGCAGAGCUGUCUCCUGAUCACAACUUGCACUACUGCACAGUAGAAGUACAGUCAGUGUAAACAAGGUCAGCGUAAGUCCACAAUAUGUGAAUAACACUUGGAAGUUCCUGAAUGAUAACCACCACAGAAGUAUAAAUUAGCUUUUCCGUCUGCUGGGCAUUGCAGUGCCCUCCUUUCUGGAUCUCUUACAAAUCUACUAAAUAUCCUGCAGGACUCAAAUGGUCCAGCAAAAUGCUGCUCCACUGUGCAUGGCAGAGUAAAAUCUAAGAUAAUAAUUUUUUUUUAAGUCAUCUUAAAAUGAUUUCAACAUAUAUAUCAAAAAGAUUGUAUGUUUUCCAAAUCAGUACAAAUAUAUAUCAGUCAAUGGCUUACUAGAGCAGCUGGAGUGGUUUAUAUUUUGUUGCUUAUAUUUUUAAUAGCACCUUAUUUAAAAGAAAGGAGGAAAGGGCUUUUCUUCCCAACAUUGCCAAAGAUGCCUGAUUGCAAAAUCCAAUCAAUCCUAAAAUUAAAAUUAGGAGACAGGAUCAGCAUGAAAGCAAUUGCAUUAUAAGGCAGCGUUAAGAUGUUAUUGAUAGAAAAGCUAAUGCAAUACAUUUUCCUCUGUCACACAUUUCUGGCCCAAAGCAAUUUGCCAACUAGCUAACCACCUCAGCAUAAACACCGGGGAGCCCCUGCUGGGUCCUGGAAAUCCCGCUUGUCUGCAAGUGCACAAUGUACAAGGAAAAUCUCCAUAAAGCGCAGUGCCACAGUUGAAUACAAACACUCCUCAGGUCCUGCUGUGACUUGGCAUACCCCAUUGGACAGCUGGAAACUGAGAGGAAAGGAGCUGCUGCCAAUAACGUGUUACAAGGGAUUUUCAGCGCAAAGUUUCCUGGAAACAGGCAGCGAGUGACAUUAUUAUUUUGCUGGAGGAUAUUGAUGUGAUAUAUCAGAUAUAUACAAUGAUAUGUGUUUGCAUUUGUUAUAUAUUUGACAUGAUAUAUGGUAAAGCACAGAGUUGUUUUGAUAUGGUUGUGUGCUUGGGCUAAGAAUUAAAACCUGAAAAAAAAGAAAAAAAAAAUAGAAUUUGUCCCAACCUUUCAUUUUGCCUAAUAUAAUUCUGGAAAUAGAUAUUGCCCUAAAUGACAUUUUAUUAUGUGUAUCAAAAAGAUUUAGCUUGCUAAGGGUCAUGAAUGUGUAUCUAACACCUUUGCAGCUGCAGUUUACUGUAGAGAGAUUGCAUACAGUAACUCUUUCAUUUUUUCUUGGAACCACUUGCAAUGAAG